rnacentral:rRNA from 1 species
GACGAGGGAUCCUAGCGUUGUUCGGAAUCAUUGGGCGUAAAGAGUAUGUAGGCGGGCUUGCAGGCGCGUUGUGAAAGCCCCCGGCUCAACCGGGGAACUGCUUCGCGAACCGCAAGUCUUGAGUCAAGUAGGGGCGGUCGGAACGAUAGGUGGAGCGGUGAAAUGCGUAGAUAUCUAUCGGAACGCCAAAGGUGAAGACAGGCCGCUGGGCUUGUACUGACGCUGAGGAACGAAAGCGUGGGGAGCAAACGGG